GAGUUUGAUCAUGGCUCAGGAUGAACGCUGGCGGCGUGCUUAACACAUGCAAGUCGAACGGGCUCAUAUUGAAACCUAGUGAUUUAUGAGUUAGUGGCGGACGGGUGAGUAACGCGUGGAAAACCUGCCGUAUACUGGGGGAUAACACUUAGAAAUAGGUGCUAAUACGGCAUAAGCGCACAGCUUCGCAUGAAGUGGUGUGAAAAACUCUGGUGGUAUACGAUGGUUCCGCGUCUGAUUAGCUUGUUGGCGGGGUAAUGGCUCACCAAGGCGACGAUCAGUAGCCGGCCUGAGAGGGUGAACGGCCACAUUGGGGACUGAGACACGGCCCAAACUCCUACGGGAGGCAGCAGUGGGGAAUAUUGCACAAUGGGGGAAACCCUGAUGCAGCGACGCCGCGUGAGUGAAGAAGUAUUUCGGUAUGUAAAGCUCUAUCAGCAGGGAGAAAUAGCGACCUUUGGGUCGCCAGACGGUACCUGAUUAAGAAGCCCCGGCUAACUACGUG
rnacentral:rRNA from 1 species